GUAUGUCCCGGUAUGGUAUACGGGUAUAGGAUCUCCAUACCGUACUCCGACUCAAUACGUCCACGGCUUACAGAACGGUAACAUAUCUCUCCAAUAAUCUGAACUUGGGUACACGGGGAAACCCAACCCCUUAGGAGGAUAGGUUAUAUGGCUAAAUUGAGCGGG
rnacentral:ribozyme from 1 species